rnacentral:lncRNA from 1 species
UUCAAAACCACCUGCACCUGCAAGGCUCUACUGUCCUUUGGCUUGGCUGUUUGACAACUAGGAGCCUCAGUUUCUCCAGAGGCCCAGCAUGUUUUUGCACCAAUACCCAGGGCAGAAGUUCAGAGUUGGCACUAAAGGCUUGGUUUUUGUUUCCUGUGGGGUCUUCUUCCAGAUGGUGAUGAAGACUACUUUGAGGCGUUUGGGGGUUGCAAUCACACUUCAAGGAACUCCUCUGCUUCCUCUCAUGCAAAGGUAGUUUCAUUUCUCUAGAGGUCAGGGUGUGUGUGGGUGAGGCCCGCAGCAAUGCAUAGAGCAGAAGUCACCCUGGCAAGCAGUUGGGCUCCACCUUCCCCUAGCCUUCUUGGAAGUCAUCUUUGACCCUCAGCUCAUCUAAAGCAUGUCAAGACAUGCGGGACAGGUGAGACUCCGCAGCUGUUCCCUAAAAUGCAGAAAGGCUGAUGCUUAAUAGUUCUGGCUGCUCCAAUAGGUGGCCAUGUAAAAGAACCCUAGGUAGAGAGACUCUUGAAACGUUUCACCCAGGGCUGGCUUUGUUCUUCCUGGACUGGACCCUAUACCGCACUGCAGGAAAACGCCUCCCCUACUUCCACCCCCACCUCCCCCCUUAGCUUCCUCAUUCUGUCUCAUGAUGAAAGACCAAAUGCAUCUGAGAAGAUGAGCUUGCAGGGUUAGGGAUGAGGUGUGGCAUCAGAGGCUUGCUUUUAGAUCCCAGAGUGACUCACUCCCUGAGAAGGGUGCACUUCAACAUGGUCCAAGGCAGCUGGAAGGGCACCCCAUCUGCAGGAUGAGAUAGAUGCAGGCAUCAAGAAGGAUUCAUGCAAGCACAAAAGAAGGGUGGGUAGGGCUUAUCAGUUAUAUUUCUUUUUUUGUUUUGUUUUUUGUUUUUGUUUUUUUGUUUUUCGAGACAGGGUUUCUCUGUGUAGUCCUUGAACUCACUUUGUAGACCAGGCUGGCCUCGAACUCAGAAAUCUGCCUGCCUCUGCCUCCCAAGUGCUGGGAUUAAAGGAGUGUGCCACCACGCCCGGCUUAUAUUUCUUUUAUGCUCCUAUCAAUGGUACUUCAGUCAUCUACUGUGAACGUACCCACUUGAUGCUAGUAAUUUGUCUUUUUGUUUUGAUUAGGAAAAAAAACUCUGUCUGCCCAGCUAGUCAGCACCAGAGACUGUGAGGCCGUGGAAGCUCUUAUCUAUACAUUCACUCUGCCAUGAUUGUGCCGGAGGAGUGAAGGCAGCAGUCUUGCCUGACCUUAACCUCCUCCUCACCUUCCUCCAUCUUGCUCCUCUUUAAUCCCAUGUGGAGGGAGGCUCUCGGACUUUGGGAUCUAACCUGGCCUCCCAGAGCAACUGCAGAGUCUCUCUCUCUCUCUCUCUCUCUCUCUCUCUCUCUCUCCCUCUCCCUCUGUGUGUGUGUGUGUGUGUGUGUCUGAAAAUAUCAUUCAGGACUGAAGAUCUUUGUGUGUCUCUAAUACUAUUCCUCAUUAAAAGACUUUAUGUAGACCAGGCUGUCCUUGAACUCACAGCAAUCUGCUUGACUCUGCUUCCUGGGAGCUAGAAUUAAAGGCAUGGAUCACCACACUCAGCAAGGGCUCCUUAUUAAAGAAGAGGGAAAGGCUCAUGGAAGACUUUCUAAACUUGCCUGUGAUUCUCUCUUUUCCUGCUGAGCGGAGCCCCAGGAGGAUGUGGCUGGCCAUCCAGGGCAGGGGAGAGGCCUCAAGGAAGCAUCUAUCCAGUGUCUAGUAACAAGUGACUGUUCUUAAGUGAAUAUAAACUUCAUCAGCAUAGGGUGGGGAUGGGGUUGGGGUACAAGUGCCAGGCAGUAGGCAGCCAUCAAAUUAGGGCCCUGCUGAGUCUGAUGACAUAGCUUGUAGUCCCAGGUCCUCAGGAGGCUAUGGCAGGAAGAUUCAAAGUUCAGGGACAGCCCCGGUAGCUUGAGUCUCAAAAUAGAAAGUGAAAAGAGGGAGGUGAUUCUAACUCGUAGACUGCACUUGCCUAGUAUGUAGGAGGUCCUUGGUUCAAUUCCUUGUAACACAUACACACACACACACACACACACACACACACACACACACACACACACACACAAUGGGAGAGAGGGACAGAAGAAGGGGGGAAGCAAGACCCAUAGGGGUCCGAUGAGUCCAAGUCCUCAGCAGCAAAUUCAUGGGCAUAGUUGGGAAGGAUCAUGAUGCUAUUGUGGGCUUCAGAAUUGUUCCCACUCCAUCUCUGCUAUUGCCACCCUGUUCCCUCCACUGGACUGGUGAUCCCAGCCUUCUGAGCCUUUGCUGAAAGGACUGUGGCUGCGGUAGGCUGGGCUGGUGGAAGGUCCCACGUGCACAGCUGCUGGACCCUGGCAUGUGCUGAUGCUAUUAAAAACAAAAUACCAGCACUGCCAUCCCAGCUCCUGGAGAAAGUCUCUGCAUGACAGCCUGCGAAGUAAGCUUGUAUUUGAAUUUCAUCUGCAACCCUGUUGCCUCCAGACAAACUCAAACCUGCACAGAUGGCCCCUCGCACCAAAAAGUAAAAAUAACAAAAAGCUGGCGAUUCCGAGCCUCCCUUUUUCUCUGGGCAGAUGUGCAGCAGCACAUUUUGGGAGGCGCACCGUCUGUAUCCCCACGCUGCAUCCUCUCCCCUCCUGUGUGUUCACACUUCCCACCCUCUGGCUUGCUGGUGGGUAGCAGCUGUGGGUAGCCCUUUGGAUGGGCUUGUACAAGUGCCUAGAGUGUCUGAGCCUUUGUGUGGAAAUUGGGAUCUAGAGGGGGAAAGUUAAGAGUUGAAAACACCUCAUCUGUUCUCUACUACCCAAGGUUGGUCAUGGUAUCUAUGAGAGGGCUCAAGGGAGAGCAGAAUGGGUAAGUGGGUCAGGAGACCAACAGAAGUGGAGAAGGAAGGGCCAUGUGCACUAGUGCACAAGAGCAGGAGGCUAACACCAAGUCCCAGCUAGCCUUGGGAGACCAGUGGAUCGUUCACUUUUCCUUAGCUGAGGACAGAGAUUCUAAGCCCUAGGGUUAUAGUUAAG